UACGUAUGGGGCAAGCGUUGUCCGGAAUCAUUGGGCGUAAAGAGCGUGUAGGCGGCCCGGUAAGUCCGCUGUGAAAGUCCAGGGCUCAACCCUGGGAUGCCGGUGGAUACUGUCGGGCUCGAGUCCGGAAGAGGAGUGUGGAAUUCCUGGUGUAGCGGUGAAAUGCGCAGAUAUCAGGAGGAACACCAAUGGCGAAGGCAGCACUCUGGGACGUGACUGACGCUGAGACGCGAAAGCGUGGGGAGCAAACAGG
rnacentral:rRNA from 1 species